UACGAAGGGGGCUAGCGUUGCUCGGAAUCACUGGGCGUAAAGCGCACGUAGGCGGAUUGUUAAGUCAGGGGUGAAAUCCCGGAGCUCAACUCCAGAACUGCCUUUGAUACUGGCGAUCUUGAGUCCGGGAGAGGUGAGUGGAACUGCGAGUGUAGAGGUGAAAUUCGUAGAUAUUCGCAAGAACACCAGUGGCGAAGGCGGCUCACUGGCCCGGUACUGACGCUGAGGUGCGAAAGCGUGGGGAGCAAACAGG
rnacentral:rRNA from 1 species